AUCAUCUUUACUCAAUUCACAGACAGACAUACAUCUUUCCCUCUACAAGAGUCCAAAAUUAGACAAAAACAAGGCUAGAAUGAGGGAAGAAAACCUUAUCAAACUAGAAUAUGAAUGAGACCAUUUAAGGAGAUAAGGUUGGACACAUUCACUUUGUGGCAGAUACUUGACAUCUUUGGACCAACCAAAAAAAAUCCCAUCUAUCUGUUAUUAUCCCAGAAACAUGCUUCAUUAAUCAGUGAAUGGAUAUUGCUCAUACCUAAUUGUACAAUCAUAGAGCACCGAACGAGCUCCAAUCCUGCUUUGACAAGUGGAAAACAUGGUUGUUUUAGCUGCACCAAGACAAGUUGUGCAGUCUGAAGUAGUGAGAUUUCGGUUGCAAGCAGCAUGGCCAUACGCGAAAGCAUUUGGAUAAGGAGAGAUGUUGUAGUAGUCAUAAUUCUUGCUUGUGGGGGUCACAAUCUCUAGUUCUUCAACAACAUAGCUUAGGCUUAUGCCAAAAGGAUCACCCUUUGAGUAAACUCCAGAGUUGCAGAGAACAGUAAGCACCUUUGUAUUGGGAACGCUUCUAACAGUACUAGUGCACAUCAAGAAGCCAAUGAAUGCUAAUAUGAUUGUUUUUGCCAGUUUUGGAGGAAGACCCAUGUGUCUAUUCCUCUUGCUCCCUCGGUUUUGCUUUGAUUUUUGAUCAGAAAUGAAGCUUUCUUUGACUUUUAAAUGCGAGUGCUUGCUGGUUUCUCCAUCAACUCCAUAAUAAAUGUAUUAUUGCCUUUUGUCUUCUUCUUGUUAGUGCUAUUUAAUUUUAUUCUUUUUCAAAAAUUUCUCUCUAGUGCUUGUG
rnacentral:misc_RNA from 1 species